AAUUAACUACAACAAGAACGUAGUUGAACAAAUAGAGAUUAAACCCGACAAACUAUAUUAACAUAACACGAAGUUCAUCCUUCAAUAGGUUCCAUCAAAACCCUAGACUAAAUAUUUAGCUACUCGUAGCAAAGCAAGAUAAAACCACAAAAGUAUUUAUAAUGUGCAAAUAAAUAUAACAAAGAGAAGAUUGAAAAACUCUAAUGGUUGAUAUCUCUUCUCACACUUGUUCUUGCCUCCAAUUCAGUCUAAAAACCUUGAUAAUGUCCCUUUGGGCGAGUUGGACCUCUUAUAGGUUAAGUGGAAUUACCCCCGAACUUCCAAGUUUACCCCUGAAUUAUAUUUUUCCGAACUGGACUAGCGCGGUCGCGCUAGUGGGCGCGCUACUGACCGCGCAUAUGGCAUAGUAUUCUGCCUCGAACUCCUGGGCUAGCACGAUCGCGCUAGUGGACCAUCAUUUCAGCUCUUCUUUUCUCUCCUCUUUCAACGUACUCAGCUCCGAGGGGCUUUCCUUGCUUCAAUUUAGCUCCAAAUACAGUCAUAAGUCCUCGUACGCGCAACUCGCUCCUGCAAAACAUAAAAUUCACAAUUAGAGCCAAUUUAUCAUCAUUUAACUAUCCUACAACAGUGAAACAUCGUCAAGCUGGGACAUAAACAGUCGCCAAAUUACAUGAAUCUAGCCUAUUAUCAAGAGGCAAACCCAAGAUCUGAAAGUAAUAUGGGUACCAAUAUCAAAAAGAUUGAGCAAAUGCUAAAAAUUGAACUAGCGUACUAAAAGUCAAGUUGUGCCCCCCUCCCUCCAAAUCGAUCAAUGCAGUUGCCUAAGCGACUUUUAAUGCCUCCCUCCUCCAAAUCGAUCAAUGCAACUGCCUAAGCUUUAAGUGUUAUGGUAUCAAUAAAAUUAUAUUCCUGUCAUUUAAGAUAUAUACAUAUAUUUUUUUCGAAACUAUCGGGCCGAUGAUCUCCUACCCUAAGG
rnacentral:lncRNA from 1 species